AAUAGAUACCCAGGUAGUCCAUGCCGUAAACGUUGGGAACUAGAUGUGGGGACCAUUCCACGGUCUCCGUGUCGCAGCUAACGCAUUAAGUUCCCCGCCUGGGGAGUACGGCCGCAAGGCUAAAACUCAAAGGAAUUGACGGGGGCCCGCACAAGCGGCGGAGCAUGCGGAUUAAUUCGAUGCAACGCGAAGAACCUUACCAAGGCUUGACAUAGCCGAGAACGCUGCAGAAAUGUAGAACUCUUUGGACACUCGGUUACAGGUGGUGCAUGGUUGUCGUCAGCUCGUGUCGUGAGAUGUUGGGUUAAGUCCCGCAACGAGCGCAACCCUUGUCCUCUGUUGCCAUCAGGUUACGCUGGGCACUCUGAGGAGACUGCCGGUGACAAACCGGAGGAAGGUGGGGAUGACGUCAAGUCAGCAUGGCCUUUAUGUCCAGGGCUACACACGUGCUACAAUGGCCGGUACAACCGUCGCGAGCCCGUGAGGGGAGCUAAUCGGAGAAAGCCGGUCUCAGUUCGGAUUGCAGG
rnacentral:rRNA from 1 species